AUUGAACGCUGGCGGCAGGCCUAACACAUGCAAGUCGAGCGGAUGAUGGGAGCUUGCUCCUGGAUUCAGCGGCGGACGGGUGAGUAAUGCCUAGGAAUCUGCCUGGUAGUGGGGGACAACGUUUCGAAAGGAACGCUAAUACCGCAUACGCCCUACGGGAGAAAGCAGGGGACCUUCGGGCCUUGCGCUAUCAGAUGAGCCUAGGUCGGAUUAGCUUGUUGGUGAGGUAAUGGCUCACCAAGGCGACGAUCCGUAACUGGUCUGAGAGGAUGAUCAGUCACACUGGAACUGAGACACGGUCCAGACUCCUACGGGAGGCAGCAGUGGGGAAUAUUGGACAAUGGGCGAAAGCCUGAUCCAGCCAUGCCGCGUGUAUGAAGAAGGUCUUCGGAUUGUAAAGCACUUUAAGUUGGGAGGAAGGGUUGUAGAUUAAUACUCUGCAAUUUUGACGUUACCGACAGGAUAAGCACCGGCUAACUCUGUGCCAGCAGCCGCGGUAACAC
rnacentral:rRNA from 1 species